rnacentral:rRNA from 1 species
UAUGUGAUCGUCUCUCGCAUAUCAAUAAGCGGAGGAAAAGAAACUAACAAGGAUUCCCCUAGUAACGGCGAGUGAAGCGGGAAGAGCUCAAAUUUGAAAUCUUAAAGGGUUUCCCUUUACGAAUUGUAGUUUAAAGAAGUGUUUUCUGUUGAGGUUUUGGUAAAAGUUCUUUGGAAUAGGACAUCAUAGAGGGUGAGAAUCCCGUAUUUGACCUUUACUUUCAACUUUGUGAUACACCUUCAAAGAGUCGGAUUGUUUGGGAAUGCAGUCCAAAAUGGGUGGUAAAUUUCAUCUAAAGCUAAAUAUUGGCGAGAGACCGAUAGCGAACAAGUACCGUGAGGGAAAGAUGAAAAGAACUUUGAAAAGAGAGUUAAACAGUACGUGAAAUUGUCAAAAGGGAAGCGUUUGACACCAGUGUUGUUUUUCUGAAAAUCAAUUAAAGAACUGUUUAUGCUAAGUUGUUUAGACUUUAUCAGCUAACUGUUUAGUUUUGAGCUUUUCUUUAAUGCACUUUUCAGUUAACAAGUCAACAUCAAUUUCUUUUGCUGUAAAAAAGCUUGAGGAAGGUGGCUUGAGAUUCGUCUUAAGUGUUUAUAGCCUCUUGCCUAUGCAGUCCGGAGAGAUUGAGGUCUGCAGCGUAGAUCCUUCGGGGCUAAAUGCAUUUGUGCUAAGUUAUAGCAUUUUAUAGACAACUUGUUGACUAUGAUUUGUCUUGUAGCUUACUCGCUUAUGUUAUUUUACCUACGCUUAGGAUGUUGAUCUACAGAGCGAGAGU